AUUGAACGCUGGCGGCAUGCCUUACACAUGCAAGUCGAACGGCAGCACGGGUGCUUGCGCCUGGUGGCGAGUGGCGAACGGGUGAGUAAUACAUCGGAACGUACCUUAUCGUGGGGGAUAACGCAGCGAAAGCUGUGCUAAUACCGCAUACGCCCUGAGGGGGAAAGCGGGGGAUCGCAAGACCUCGCGCGAUUAGAGCGGCCGAUGCCUGAUUAGCUUGUUGGUGGGGUAAAAGCCCACCAAGGCGACGAUCAGUAGCUGGUCUGAGAGGACGAUCAGCCACAGUGGGACUGAGACACGGCCCAGACUCCUACGGGAGGCAGCAGUGGGGAAGUUUGGACAAUGGGGGCAACCCUGAUCCAGCAAUGCCGCGUGAGUGAAGAAGGCCUUCGGGUUGUAAAGCUCUUUUGUCAGGGAAGAAACACCGGCUCUAACACAGUCCGGGAAUGACGGUACCUGAAGAAUAAGCACCGGCUAACUACGUGCCAGCCGCCGCCGUAA
rnacentral:rRNA from 1 species